rnacentral:rRNA from 1 species
GACGAACGCUGGCGGCGCACCUAAGACAUGCAAGUCGGACGGUCCCUUCGGGCGCUUCGGCGCGCGGGGGGAUAGUGGCGGACGGGUGAGUAACACGUACGGGACCUGCCCCCCCGUGGGGGAUAGCCCCGGGAAACCGGGGGUAAGACCGCAUCCGCCCCCCGGCGUAGGGGCCGGGGGGGAAAUGCCCGCCUGUGGAGGGGGGCAGCGGGGGGAGGGGCGUGCGGCGGAUUAGCUAGUUGGCGGGGUAGGGGCCCACCAAGGCGACGAUCCGUAG